UACGUAGGGUGCAAGCGUUGUCCGGAAUUAUUGGGCGUAAAGAGCUUGUAGGCGGUUUGUCGCGUCUGCUGUGAAAUUUCGGGGCUCAACCCCGAACUUGCAGUGGGUACGGGCAGACUAGAGUGUGGUAGGGGGAGACUGGAAUUCCUGGUGUAGCGGUGAAAUGCGUAGAUAUCGGGAGGAACACCAGUGGCGAAGGCGGUUGCCUGGAGCUUUGCUGACGCUGAUGCGCGAAAGCGUGGGGAGCGAUCCGG
rnacentral:rRNA from 1 species